UGAGAAAAGCAGGAGCGAGAGCUUCUCGCCUUACGACCUAGGUUGUCUGGCCCUACAUGUCAAAUUCCUAUGGAAUGUAAUGUGUGCGGGCUUGAAUUAUCAAGUCCGUUUUCGUUUUCUCUA
rfam:Streptococcus phocae strain ATCC 51973 contig_33, whole genome shotgun sequence.